AUUGAACGCUGGCGGCAUGCCUUACACAUGCAAGUCGAACGGCAGCACGGGUGCUUGCACCUGGUGGCGAGUGGCGAACGGGUGAGUAAUACAUCGGAACAUGUCCUGUAGUGGGGGAUAGCCCGGCGAAAGCCGGAUUAAUACCGCAUACGAUCUACGGAUGAAAGCGGGGGACCUUCGGGCCUCGCGCGAUAGGGUUGGCCGAUGGCUGAUUAGCUAGUUGGGGGGGUAAAGGCCUACCAAGGCGACGAUCAGUAGCUGGUCUGAGAGGACGACCAGCCACACUGGGACUGAGACACGGCCCAGACUCCUACGGGAGGCAGCAGUGGGGAAUUUUGGACAAUGGGCGAAAGCCUGAUCCAGCAAUGCCGCGUGUGUGAAGAAGGCCUUCGGGUUGUAAAGCACUUUUGUCCGGAAAGAAAUCCUUGGCCCUAAUACGGUCGGGGGAUGACGGUACCGGAAGAAUAAGCACCGGCUAACUACGUG
rnacentral:rRNA from 1 species